rnacentral:rRNA from 1 species
UACAGGGGGUGCAAACGUUGCUCGGAAUCAUUGGGCGUAAAGCGCACGUAGGCGGUUUGUUAUGUCGGAUGUGAAAGCCCUUGGCUCAACUGAGGAAGUGCAUCCGAAACUGGCAAGCUAGAGUACUAAAGAGGAUCGCGGAAUUCCCGGUGUAGAGGUGAAAUUCGUAGAUAUCGGGAAGAACACCGGUGGCGAAGGCGGCUCUCUGGACCUGUCCUGACGCUCAGGCGCGAAAGCUAGGGGAGCGAACAGG